rnacentral:rRNA from 1 species
UACGUAGGGUGCAAGCGUUAAUCGGAAUUACUGGGCGUAAAGCGUGCGCAGGCGGUUCUAUAAGACAGAUGUGAAAUCCCCGGGCUCAACCUGGGAACUGCAUUUGUGACUGUAGAGCUGGAGUACGGUAGAGGGGGAUGGAAUUCCGCGUGUAGCAGUGAAAUGCGUAGAUAUGCGGAGGAACACCGAUGGCGAAGGCAAUCCCCUGGACCUGUACUGACGCUCAUGCACGAAAGACGUGGG